AACGCGAAGAACCUUACCUACCCUUGACAUGCCAGGAACCUCGGAGAGAUUCGAGGGUGCCCGAAAGGGAGCCUGGACACAGGUGCUGCAUGGCUGUCGUCAGCUCGUGUCGUGAGAUGUUGGGUUAAGUCCCGCAACGAGCGCAACCCUUGCCACUAGUUGCUACAUUUAGUUGGGCACUCUAGUGGGACUGCCGGUGACAAACCGGAGGAAGGUGGGGAUGACGUCAAGUCCUCAUGGCCCUUAUGGGUAGGGCCUCACACGUCAUACAAUGGCCGGUACAGAGGGUUGCCAACCCGCGAGGGGGAGCCAAUCCCAGAAAGCCGGUCGUAGUCCGGAUUGUAGUCUGCAACUCGACUACAUGAAGUCGGAAUCGCUAGUAAUCGCGGAUCAGCAUGUCGCGGUGAAUACGUUCCCGGGCCUUGUACACACCGACAUA
rnacentral:rRNA from 1 species